GAUGAACGCUGGCGGCGUGCCUAAUACAUGCAAGUCGAGCGAACGGACGAGAAGCUUGCUUCUCUGAUGUUAGCGGCGGACGGGUGAGUAACACGUGGAUAACCUACCUAUAAGACUGGGAUAACUUCGGGAAACCGUAGCUAAUACCGGAUAAUAUUUUGAACCGCAUGGUUCAAAAGUGAAAGACGGUCUUGCUGUCACUUAUAGAUGGAUCCGCGCUGCAUUAGCUAGUUGGUAAGGUAACGGCUUACCAAGGCAACGAUGCAUAGCCGACCUGAGAGGGUGAUCGGCCACACUGGAACUGAGCCACGGUCCAGACUCCUACGGGAGGCAGCCGUAGGGAAUCUUCCGCAAUGGGCGAAAGCCUGACGGAGCAACGCCGCGUGAGUGAUGAAGGUCUUCGGAUCGUAAAACUCUGUUAUUAGGGAAGAACAUAUGUGUAAGUAACUGUGCACAUCUUGACGGUACCUAAUCAGAAAGCCACGGCUAACUACGUG
rnacentral:rRNA from 1 species